GCAGGUCGUACGCUUCUUUUUCCACCGGAGCUUGCUCCACCGGAAAAAGAAGAGCGGUGAACGGGUGAGUAACACGUGGGUAACCUGCCCAUCAGAAGGGGAUAACACUUGGAAACAGGUGCUAAUACCGUAUAACAAUCGAAACCGCAUGGUUUUGAUUUGAAAGGCGCUUUCGGGUGUCGCUGAUGGAUGGACCCGCGGUGCAUUAGCUAGUUGGUGAGGUAACGGCUCACCAAGGCCACGAUGCAUAGCCGACCUGAGAGGGUGAUCGGCCACAUUGGGACUGAGACACGGCCCAAACUCCUACGGGAGGCAGCAGUAGGGAAUCUUCGGCAAUGGACGAAAGUCUGACCGAGCAACGCCGCGUGAGUGAAGAAGGUUUUCGGAUCGUAAAACUCUGUUGUUAGAGAAGAACCAAGGAUGAGAGUAACUCGUUCAUCCCUUGACGGUAUCUAACCAGAAAGCCACGGCUAACUACGUGCCAGCAGCCGCGGGUAAUACGUAGGUGGCAAGCGUUGUCCGGAUUUAUUGGGCGGUAAAGCGAGCGCAGGCGGUUUCUUAAGUCUGAUGUGAAAGCCCCCGGCUCAACCGGGGGAGGGUCAUUGGAAACUGGGAGACUUGAGUGCAGAAGAGGAGAGUGGAAUUCCAUGUGUAGCGGUGAAAUGCGUAGAUAUAUGGAGGAACACCAGUGGCGAAGGCGGCUCUCUGGUCUGUAACUGACGCUGAGGCUCGAAAGCGUGGGGAGCAAACAGGAUUAGAUACCCUGGUAGUCCACGCCGUAAACGAUGAGUGCUAAGUGUUGGAGGGUUUCCGCCCUUCAGUGCUGCAGCUAACGCAUUAAGCACUCCGCCUGGGGAGUACGACCGCAAGGUUGAAACUCAAAGGAAUUGACGGGGGCCCGCACAAGCGGUGGAGCAUGUGGUUUAAUUCGAAGCAACGCGAAGAACCUUACCAGGUCUUGACAUCCUUUGACCACUCUAGAGAUAGAACUUCCCCUUCGGGGCCAAAGUGACAGGUGGUGCAUGGUUGUCGUCAGCUCGUGUCGUGAGAUGUUGGGUUAAGUCCCGCAACGAGCGCAACCCUUAUUGUUAGUUGCCAUCAUUCAGUUGGGCACUCUAGCAAGACUGCCGGUGACAAACCGGAGGAAGGUGGGGAUGACGUCAAAUCAUCAUGCCCCUUAUGACCUGGGCUACACACGUGCUACAAUGGGAAGUACAACGAGUCGCGAAGUCGCGAGGCUAAGCUAAUCUCUUAAAGAUUCUCUCAGUUCGGAUUGUAGGCUGCAACUCGCCUACAUGAAGCCGGAAUCGCUAGUAAUCGCGGAUCAGCACGACGCGGUGAAUACGUUCCCGGGCCUUGUACACACCGCCCUUCACAGCACGAGAGUUUGUAACACCCGAAGUCGGUGAGGUAACCUUUUGGAGCC
rnacentral:rRNA from 1 species